ensembl:lncRNA
UGGCAGAGAGGAUCAAGCAACUCAAAUCCUUCUGGGAGAAAGAAUCUAGAACAUCAGCAGCAGCUCAAAAUAGAUCAACUACUACUGCUCGACUGAACCAAAGAUUUACUAAAUCUGAGUUUGAUCUCAGAACAAUAGGUACUGAGUAUGAUGAUUAUCAUGAUGAUGCCGAGGACAGUACUUCAGCCAAAGGUAGACUGUCUCCUAAUUUCUCUGUGCAUCCACUAUGGAAGGAUAAAGCAGUUGCGACGGAUGGUAUGCGCACCUUACAGUUUAAGAAUCUGCGUGACUUCUGGGGAGGAUCACCUACAAAAUCUGGGCAAAGGUCACCGGUUCUUGAAAAUGGAAAUCAGAGAUCAUUAAGUCCACAAAGUCAAAAUGAGAGAGCCACUGUCAAAGACUUUGUAAAUGAAAGCCAGAAUAACAAAACAUCCUCACCAGCCAAAACUAGAGUAUUCCAGUCUCCCUCAAAGAAGAGGAUUAUGUCAAGACAUGAAUCUGGAUCAAAAACCAAUCAAUCACAUGUGGUCUCAGGCGAAGCAAUCUCCUAUGGACUGUCUCAUUCUCUUCAGCAACAGAAAGGCUCUCAGACCUCUUCAGAAGCCACAAUGGUACCUAAACCUCAGGUUGUUCAAGAGUCACAACCGAAACACAGUAGAAGAAACAACAAAGGCAGUCUAAAUGGAAAAGCAAAUGCCAUGCGACGUGCCACCAGCAUGUUUUCUGUGAACAUUGCGGUUGAGGAGCAAAGCCAGGACUUAAACCUUCAAUCAAGGAAGUCCCAGGGCCCCAAUCAGCAACAGGUUAAAAAGGCACCAGAAGCCACCAUCACACAGUCCAGGAAAACACAAGAAGCCAGCUAUACCCUGCCAAAAACAUCCCCAGAAAUCACUUGGAGAGACAGAGAUAAAAACACUCAGAGAAGACCGUCACGUACCUCAGAGGAUUCUGACUCUCAACCUCUUGCUAGAUCCUUCAUUCCACGGGACUACCAGCAUUACCUUGGGAUCACAGAGGACAGAAAGACACACCGCAGCUGUAAGUGUUCCCCGGUGAAAACCAGUACUCCAGUACAGGGCUCCCCUGACCUACAAGCCAGGAGAGGGAGCCUGGGAUGCCACUCAACCACACAAACUGAUGGAAAUGCCACUAAGGGGAAUUUAAACCGUAAGUUCAAAGCUCUUUCUUUUACUAUAUACAGGUUUCACAAACUUUUUUUAACCAAGGACCCUCUUCAUGUAUACUGGGAAUCCAAUAUUAGAUAAAAGUAUCUGUCAAAUGCAUACAUAUAAAUCUAUAGGAUAUUUUUCAAGCAUUUUACAGGAGCGUUGUAGCUUAAAAUUAGGGAUAAUGUACAUCCAGCCAGUUGUUAUCUUAGAAUAAACCCCGACAGGGUGAUCA